GGCCACUUCCAAUCAAUCAAUGGAGAAUAUAUAGACGUGCAGAGGAUGUAAAGAAGACUAAUCAAAGCGAAAGCACAAAAUAUAGAGACAUCUGGCAGCAACACAUCCAUACACUUUAGAAUAUGUACAUAAGCUUAGGCCACAAACCAAUCACUAAAGUCUCGAAAAGAAAUCGCAAAAUAAUGAAAAAAAUAAUGUGCAUAUGCAGUUAUACACACACACCAGGAACGCAAAGCACAUAUGCAUCACUAAUUGUCCUGCACAUCACGCAAUAUCCAGGCCUCCAGGAAAACUACACGGACGUGGAGAUCUAGACAAAGAAACAAUGAGGCGACCUCAUCUUCCUGCUCGUACCUUGGGCGACUAAGGCACUACUUGGAUUGGGAUCUGGAUCUCCUUCAGCACCGCGAAAGUAAAUCUUGCAGCCGUCGCUCUCGCCCUUCUCAUCUAUUAUGGUUCGGGAUCAGAUUUUCCAACCAAGCUGACUCAAAAUAAAAUUGUUAAGAUAUUUGAAGAUAAAGAGGAAGGAGUGCCCCCACCUCUGGUGCACAUGUGAUGCUGGGGAGGACGCCAGGGGUGGCACGCAUGGUUCAUGGAGGUUGGGUAAAGGGCGAGGUCUACGCUUGGGCCAAGCUUAUCCAUGCCGGCGACCAUGCUGCAUCUUGCGGUUUAGGUCGGCAACAAAAGCAAGAUGGAGGGAUCCAUAAAUAGAGGGAAGAAGGGAAGAACUAGAAGGACUGCAGUAGAGAUUUAUUGAUUGGGGGGAGAUGAAGGGAACCAUGGGUGGAAGGUGGAGGAAGAGGCGAAAGACCAAGGGGCCGAACAGGGCUAACGCUUCGGGAGAAAAGUUGGGAGAUGCAACGAUAUUUUGUACGUGGGUUUCAAGUUCAUUUACGGCUGCAUCUGUGGCAGGGAACAUACGCUAGCUGCUGGUGCAUGGGAAGGCCAGGAAAGUGAUGACAUGGCCUCGUGGGACCAGUUUUUGCUGAGAUGGCAUAGUUGCU
rnacentral:lncRNA from 1 species